AAAUUUUCAUAUCAUUCCAGUAUAAAUGAUGCACUUGAGUAUCUAAAAUCAAAGUGCUGGAUAGCACCGGUGGAAAGUUUGCAACGGUAGAUUGUAAUAUUUAAAAUAGAUUGUAAAUCUGUAGAUUGCUUGGUUAACUUUAAAAAAAAAAAAAAAAAAAAAAACUUUAUCAAGAAAUAAUUGUGACAGAAUGCUACUUGGAAGUCUCCCAAACAAAGCUCUCAAAAUUAGUCAUUCCAACGGUCGCCUGACAUUUGGCAAAGUCCAAUACAAAUUGGUCUGGUCUAGUAAAGUGAUAUGCACAAGUGAUGUCUAGGUUUUACACCUGUAUGUCAUUCAAAUCUUCUUGAAAUCAUGUACAGUAAUACUCAUGAUUUAUUGGUGGGGAUCUAGACAGUUUACAAGCUCUCAAACAGGC
rnacentral:lncRNA from 1 species